rnacentral:rRNA from 1 species
UACGUAGGGGGCGAGCGUUGUCCGGAUUCAUUGGGCGUAAAGAGCUCGUAGGCGGCUUGUCGCGUCGACUGUGAAAACCCGUGGCUCAACCAUGUGGUCUGCAGUCGAUACGGGCAGGCUAGAAUUCGGUAGGGGAGACUGGAAUUCCUGGUGUAGCGGUGAAAUGCGCAGAUAUCAGGAGGAACACCGGUGGCGAAGGCGGGUCUCUGGGCCGAUAUUGACGCUGAGGAGCGAAAGCGUGGGGAGCGAACAGG